UUCAAUCUGUCACAUUUUUCUGUUAAGUGUUUUAUUUAAGCCAAAUAGUGCAUUGUGAAUCCACACAGGAGUAGAUGGAAACUAGUUAGACAGAACAGCUAGCUCUUUUGUCAUUUGCAUCUUAUCGCUAAUAAGGAGCCAUUAAAAACAGUGAAUGCAGCUCUUUAAAACUAAAAUAAGCAUUUAGGGAUGGGGGAACCUUACAAAGCGAUACCACUAAAAUGAAACAUCAAAAUGUCAUUUGGGCAUUAAGUGCUUCAAUAGUAAUAAUUGACUUCUCAUCAAGAAACCAUGUUGGAACAAAAAUCUGCUGCCACUGCGUCCCUCCAGGACAGAUGUUACCUGCCCCCACACUAGAUCAUGUGUUCUCUCUUAUUUUAUACACAAAGAACUUGCUGGAAUUUUGUGAUUUAUACAGAGAGAAGUGGGAACAUUAAGAGGUGCUUACAAUAGAUUAUAUUCAGUUACAUUUGAGUAAGAUAAUAAAAACAAGCCACCACAACCCGUGAUCGGUUGUCUGUCAUAGUGGUUUAACAGCGGAGUGCUCUUCAUGUUGCAGUUCAUCAAACCAUGCAAUCUUUCAGACUUUUCUUAAAAUGGCUGAAGAGUGAAGACCACAGAAAAUGGCAUUAAACCUGCUUCCUGUUCACACUUUUGACCUAAAGACUGUUAUUUUGAUAAUGUGCUACUAUCUUGUGCCUCUUCGACAGUUGCCUUAUGUGGCUAAAUUAAUAUUAAAAGACAAGCAAGUUGUACUUUUUUAGGUGCAUUUGCAUAUGAUGUAAAAAGCCCUUACUGUGAUAGCAAUUGCUGUCUGUCCACAUGAAGCAACUCCGCUCCCAGUGGACCGAUUUUUUUUAAGGAAUUUCUUUGUGGAAAUUUAAUAGGACAGGUAAAUUUUCAUCGAGACAUCCCGAAUAGAGUGUGCUGUACAAAGUUUUUUAACAUUUCAGAGUCUCCCACUGAAAAAGCAUUGGUGAAUUUGUGAACUCAUCGAUCUUAAAACAAAGAAGCAUUCUGUGCAGCUUCAAUUAUGGAUUAGUUUGCUGUUUCCAAUUCACCUUGAAAAAAGUUAUUUCGGCUUGUAUAUUUUAUAUAUUUUUCCUCUUUUACUUGUCAAAUAGCAGCCAAGAUCCUCUAUACAAGUUAGGCAAUCCUCCAGGGGAAGAGCGUACAAGUUGCUUAUGCAUCAGUUCAUGUCUCCUAUUGCUUCAGUUUAUCAGCAAAGCUCCAGACCUGCUCUCCAUUCCAUGCAGAAGCAGCCAUCAAUUUUACCUUGAAAUUUAACUCUCUGUCAGUUACAAGAAGAAGGGUCUAUUUAGAACUCCAACUUCUAGAAAGCCAAGUCAGACCUGCCACUUAACCUAACAUGUGUAUCCUGUAGAUGUGAGAGGAAGCUGAAGCACCAGCAGAAACCCACACGGACAUUGAGAGGAUGUGUAGACUCCAUACAGGCAUUGGCCAGGCACCAAAUGACUCCCAGGAAAUGAUGCCUAACCCUUCCCAUUCCCAGUCCUAUAUGUGUUGAAGGUCAUCAUUUAAGUCUUUGAGAACCCCAAGAGACAGAGCUCUUGAGUUUUUUUGCUGACAAAGAUGACAAUAGACACUUUGGAAAGGGGCACCAACACCUGUUUUUGUUUCUUUUUUGCUCUGGCCUCAUUAAAUGGGGUUUCACCGGAUUGGUGCCUCAACCAUUUGCACCUGUGUUCUUCAGUUUUGUCUGUCAGUCUGGUAUUUCUUAUUGUAAAAUUCCUUGAGAAUCCUAAAGCUUCUGCUUGAUUAUCUUUUGUCAACUUUAGGUCAGCUUUGCCGCCAAAUGUCCUUAAUACCAUGCUGUAACAAUUAAAAAUAAAUCCUUUUAUUAUAAAGUGGUA